GACGGUGUAGCAAAGUGGUUAACGCGGUAGAUUGCUAAUCUAUUUCCCUAGUGGAGCGCGAGUUCGAAUCUCGUCACCGUCG
rnacentral:tRNA from 2 species